rnacentral:rRNA from 1 species
GACGAACGCUGGCGGCGUGCUUAACACAUGCAAGUCGAACGGAACGGCCCUGCUUGCAGGGUACUCGAGUGGCGAACGGGUGAGUAACACGUGGGUGAUCUGCCCUGCACUUUGGGAUAAGCCUGGGAAACUGGGUCUAAUACCGGAUAGGAGCCCUUUUUAGUGUGAUGGUUGGAAAGUUUUUUCGGUAUAGGAUGGGCUCGCGGCCUAUCAGCUUGUUGGUGGGGUAAUGGCCUACCAAGGCGGCGACGGGUAGCCGGCCUGAGAGGGUGGACGGCCACAAUAGGACUGAGAUACGGACCAGACGCCUACGGGAGGCAGCAGUGGAGAAUAUUGCACAAUAGGCGCAAGCCAGAGGCGGCGACGCCGCGUGGGUGAUGACGGCCUUCGGGUGGUAAACUCCUGUCGCUAGGGACAAAGCUUUUUGUGACGGUACCUAGAGAAGAAGCACCGGCUAACUACGUG